rnacentral:rRNA from 1 species
UACAGAGGGGGCAAGCGUUGUUCGGAAUUACUGGGCGUAAAGGGCGCGUAGGUGGCCUUCUAAGUCGAACGUGAAAUCCCUGGGCUCAACCUGGGAAUGGCGAUGGAUACUGGCUCGCUAGAGUGCGGUAGAGGAGAGUGGAAUUCCCGGUGUAGCAGUGAAAUGCGUAGAGAUCGGGAGGAACAUCAGUUGCGAAGGCGGCUCUCUGGACCAGCACUGACACUGAGGCACGAAAGCGUGGGGAGCAAACAGG